rnacentral:rRNA from 1 species
AACGGCCGCGGUAUCCUAACCGUGCGAAGGUAGCGUAAUCACUUGUUCUUUAAAUGAGGACUAGUAUGAAUGGCACCACGAGGGUUAAACUGUCUCCUUUUUUUAAUCAGUGAAACUAAUCUCCCCGUGAAGAAGCGGGGAUUCUUUUAUAAGACGAGAAGACCCUAUGGAGCUUUAAACAAGUUAACACCUGCUACUAAUCUUCACUUUCCUGAACCACCACAUUAAGUAUAGCACCUCUGAUUAACAGUUUUCGAUUGGGGUGAUCAUGGAGCAAAAAUCAACCUCCACGACGAAAAGGAACACCUCCUUGAGCCAAAAGCUACAACUUUAGGCACUAAAAAACUAACGCACUUUGACCCAAUUCUUUGAGCAACGAACCAAGUUACCCUAGGGAUAACAGCGCAAUCCACUUUAAGAGCCCCUAUCGACAAGUGGGUUUACGACCUCGAUGUUGGAUCAGGGUAUCCCAGUGGUG